rnacentral:rRNA from 1 species
UACGUAGGGGGCGAGCGUUGUCCGGAUUUAUUGGGUUUAAAGGGCGCGUAGGCGGCCCUGUAAGUCAGAGGUGAAAUUCUUGAGCUUAACUGAAGGAUUGCCAUUGAUACUGUAGGGCUUGAGUACAGAUGAGGUAGGCGGAAUUGAUGGUGUAGCGGUGAAAUGCAUAGAUACCAUCAAGAACACCGAUUGCGAAGGCGGCUUACUAAGCUGUAACUGACGCUGAUGCACGAAAGCGUGGGGAGCGAACAGG